UACGUAGGGCGCAAGCGUUUGUCCGGAAUUAUUGGGCGUAAAGAGCUCGUAGGCGGCCUGUUGCGUCCGCUGUGAAAUCCCGGGGCUUAACCCCGGGCUUGCAGUGGAUACGGGCAGGCUGGAGGCAGGCAGGGGAGAACGGAAUUCCCGGUGUAGCGGUGAAAUGCGCAGAUAUCGGGAGGAACACCGGUGGCGAAGGCGGUUCUCUGGGCCUGUACUGACGCUGAGGGGCGAAAGCGUGGGGAGCGAACAGG
rnacentral:rRNA from 1 species